AGAUUGAACGCUGGCGGAAUGCUUUACACAUGCAAGUCGAACGGCAGCACGGGGGCAACCCUGGUGGCGAGUGGCGAACGGGUGAGUAAUACAUCGGAACGUGCCCAGUCGUGGGGGAUAACUACGGCGAAAGCGUAGCUAAUACCGCAUACGAACUCUGGUUGAAAGCGGGGGAUCGGCAAGACCUCGCGCGAUUGGAGCGGCCGAUGGCAGAUUAGGUAGUUGGUGGGGUAAAGGCUCGACCAAGCCGACGAUCUGUAGCUGGUCUGAGAGGACGACCAGCCACACUGGGACUGAGACACGGCCCAGACUCCUACGGGAGCAGCAGUGGGGAAUUUGGGACAAUGGGCGCAAGCCUAGAUCCAGCCAUUCCGCGUGCAGGAUGAAGGGCCCUCGGGUUGUAAACUGCUUUUAGUACGGAACGAAACGCGACUGAGUUAAUACCGUCGGACGUAAUGAACGGUACCGUAAGAAUAAGCAACCGGCUAACGUACGUGACCAGCAG
rnacentral:rRNA from 1 species